rnacentral:rRNA from 1 species
AUGAGAAAACAGGUAGUACAACCCAACAAUGUGACGAGUCGGUACCACUUCAAAAAAAAAGAACACCUUGACCUUGGUGCACUAUCUCAAUACGCCCGGGAACUAACUACCCCUAUCAGCUUCGGAAGAAGUACAACCCACAAGGACUUCAACGGUCUACAAGCCACUUUCACAUCUGCAAGAACUUUUCACCUGCCGCUUUUUUUCCUGAUUUGGCGUGAAAUACUCACGGCGCUUGACUGGGGCAGAGCUCGGCAGCUCGCUCACUGUUGUCUGCACAGACAGCACCACAAUCCAGCCCAAGGCGUUGAGGCCUUCGCGGAAACAACAUCCAGAAAUGACAAAUGCUGGAGCUAA